UACGUAGGGGGCAAGCGUUAUCCGGAUUUACUGGGUGUAAAGGGAGCGUAGGUGGCAUGGCAAGUCAGAAGUGAAAGCCCAGGGCUCAACCCUGGGACUGCUUUUGAAACUGUCAAGCUAGAGUGCAGGAGAGGUAAGUGGAAUUCCUAGUGUAGCGGUGAAAUGCGUAGAUAUUAGGAGGAACACCAGUGGCGAAGGCGGCUUACUGGACUGUAACUGACACUGAGGCUCGAAAGCGUGGGGAGCAAACAGG
rnacentral:rRNA from 1 species